UAGAGACACCGCGAGGUGCUCCCUAAAACCAUUUGUGAACCUACCACGUUGCCUCGGCGGCCCAGCCUACCCGGCAAAGCCGCCGACGGACCUACAAACUCUGAUUUACCCUGUAUCUCUGAGCGUCUUAUGAAAAUAAGUCA
rnacentral:misc_RNA from 1 species